GGACGAUCUGGCUGCAACAUCAGUCACCAUAUUGAUUGCCAGGGUGGAUGGGCUGAUCCAGCUGGCUAGGCGUGUGUCCCCUUCCUCCCUCACCACUCCAUGUGCUUCCCUCCAGAACCUGCCCACUAGGUCAAAGAGGAUGACUUCCCUUCCCUAAAUAGAGGAGAACCACUCUUCAGUCAAGGGUAUAGGAGUAGCUGUGAUACCCUACUAGAACUUCCAAAGAUGCUCAAAGCCCAUUUAUAUCUUCUUUAUAGAAAAAAACAAAAACAAAAACAAACAACAAAAAACACCAUUCUAAAUUCUUU
rnacentral:snRNA from 1 species